rnacentral:rRNA from 1 species
GUCUACAGCAAUACUACCCUGAACAUGCCCAGUCUCGUCUGAUCUCGGAAGCUAAGCAGGGUCUGGCCUGGUUAGUACUUGGAUGGGAGAUUUUAAGGGAUUGUGGAUUGUGGAGAUGUGAAUC